CAUUGCAAUCACUUGAAAAUGGGUACUUACGCAAAUGGAUGUCAAAAAUGUCUUUCUCAACAGUGAGUUAGAAGAAUCAGUGUAUAUGCGUCCUCCUCCAGGAUACACCUUCUAGGAAUAUAAAGUGUGUCGUCUUCAUAAGGUUCUCUAUGGUCUUAAGUAAACACCUUAAACUUGGUUUGCUAAAUUUCACAAUACUAUCACUCAGUUGGAUUUCUCUUCCAAUUCUCACGACUCUGCUCUUUUUACUCGAAAAACAAACAAUGGUACUAUUGUCUUGCUUCUUUAUGUUGCUGAUAUGAUUAUCAUUGGUGAUGACUUUGUUGGAAUUGAAGAGCUCAAGAAAUUCUUAUGUGAGCACUUUGAGAUAAAGGAUCUUGGGCCAUUAAGUUACUUUCUAGGACUUUUAGUCUUAUCUUCUAGGGAUGGCUUAUUUAUCUCACAAGCUAAGUAUGCUUCUGAUAUUGUUUCUCGAGCAGACCUCACUGAUUGUAAAAUUGAAAAUACUCCUUUAGAACCCAAUGUUCAAUUUAGUCCUCAAGAUGGUACUUUGCUCGACGAUGCCUCUCUUUAUCGAAAAACUCAUAGGCAACUUGAUUUACCUCACAUUUAUUAGACCAAAUAUAUCAUAUGUUGUUCAUUUGAUUAGUCAACUCAUGGCCUCUCCACAUACCACACAUUAUGCUGUUAGCAUCCAGAUUAUUCAAUAUAUUAAGGGCACCAUAUUUUAUGGUCUACACUACUCAGUUGCACCCUCGUUGAUUCUUAGAGCCUACUAUAAUGCCAAUUGGGAUGGUGAUCCUAGCGAUCAUCGAUCCACCAGGUUUUUGUAUUUUCCUAGGAGAUUCUCUUAUUUCAUGCUAAUAUGACUUUAGAGAUAUUAUGGCUUUAUUGGAUUUUUGCUGAUUUAGAGACAUCUCAACCUUCACUCAUAAAUCUUUAUAAGAUGAUGUUUUAUAUGAGCGAACAAAAGAUAUUGAAAUUAAUCGUCACUUCAUUCGUCAGCAUUUUAUCCGUGGUGAACUUUAUUUACAUCAAUUGGCACUUUUUGACCAACCUACUGAUUUGUUCACAAAACCUCAUAUCCUGACCGUUUUCGCACUUUAGUUUUCAAACUCGUGUUGUUUACAACUCCAUCCAUUUGAGGUUGACGAAAUUUACAAUAUGUUAUAAUUCUCCCAUUAUUGUAAUUUUUAUUGUAAUUAUGUUAGAUUUAAUUAGACUUUAUGUAUAAUUAUUUUAUUUGUUUAUUUGUUUGCAAUUCUCUAUUAUAAAUAUGAAUUUCGGCUUAUAUUUGAGAUAUAUAAUGAAUACACAAAUAUUUUAUUCAUAUGUUUAUGAGUUUCUACCAAUUUUUUAAAAAUCGGAUCGGAGAUCAAACCGAUAAGAUAUUCGAUUUAAGAUUCAAUUGGUUAAACCGAUUAAACAUACUGUCGAACCGUUUAUUAAAUAAACUAAUAAUUUGAAACUAAAUUUCAUAGAUAUGUCUCACACAAUCAUAUGUUCACAAUUUAAAAUAAUAAAUAUUUCAAAAUCCAUUACAAACUUAAUACAACAAUAUCAAUCAAUAGUACAUAUAAUAACACAACAUAGAUGUGCACUUAAUUUUAACUUUCAUUUAAGAAUAAUUAGAAUAAAUUAAAAAAUUAUAAUAAAAUAAGUUAAACUAAUUCAUACAAACAUUAAAAUAAUAGAAGUUAGUAACUAAAAUAAAAUUUAAAUAAUAGAAUACAUAAGUUAAAUAAGAUAGAAUUACAAAAUAAACAAUACAACAUACUUAAUUGAACUACAUUAAACAAAUUCGAGUUGAACGACGACAAACAAGUCAUAAUUGACAAUGACAAACAAUAUUGACUUGAGCAACAACCAAUAUUAAAUUGAACACUAUAACUAUGUUUGAAAGAGACGACGUGAUGAUGAUGAAGUGUGAUUGAAAAAAAAAUUAUAAAAGAGUGAUAAAACUUAGAAGUUUAUAUGAUUGUAAAAAAACAAGGAAUUUUUUCGUGAUUGAGGAAUGUUUUAAAAUUUGGUAUUGACGUAUUAAACGUUUUCAAUUUUUUUAUUUAAAAAAUGAUCAAUUUGAUAUAUAUUUUUGAACCAAACUGUUUUACAAAAUCAACUCCGAUUCUUUGGUUCGAACGAUUUUGAACGAUUUAAUUCAAUUUUUUCAAUUUUUACUUUAAUUUUGACCAGACCGAAUUCCACUCCGAUUUUCGAUCUAACCGAUUGAAGUGUCUGAUUAGGUCCAGUUUUAAAAUUUGGUUUUUACAUAGAUAAAAUAUAAUUUAGAACUUUUAAUAUUUUUUUGUGAUAUAACACAUGUAAGGAAAACAAGAGAGGGAAAAAUAAUGUAAUUAAAGAGAAAAUUUUAAUUAAGAGAAGUAAACAAAAAAUGAUAUAUUAUAAAGAGUUACCGAUAAAUAAAUACGGAUGGUAAAACGGAAUUUAUCUAUUUGACAUCUUUGUUUUGUCUAUUUUUAUCUAUGAAGAGAUCAAAAUUUUAAGCUAUACUCUCUAAUAUGCUUUCCGCCCACUCCAUUUUUUUAUGUAGACGCAAAUUUUAAUCUUAUUUUUUUUGUUGUUGUAAUUUUUAGAUUAAAGAGGUGCAGUACCUCCAGAUCCUCCCCACCUCAGGCUCAAUUUUUUUUACAGAGGAGAUUAAAAUUUAAGGUUGCGCAUUCAACAACAUCCGAUAUACUUCGUCCCACUCCAUAUUUUUACAGACUUGUGCAAAAACGAAUAUAAAUCGGAAUAUGCCAUUUUGUUGGAUGAUUAUAUUUUUUAAUCAAUUUUUGGAAGAGGAUAAGUCCCACAUUUUAGACUUUAGACAAUGUGAUAAUGAAGCAAUAACCAAAUUAAUCCUAUGACAUAACCCAGCUCAGCACUCAUAAUAACAACAUUCACUUUCCUUCCAAAAAUUACCCUCAAGACCAACAUACAACUCCACAAAAACCACUUCCCUUCAAAUUCUCCCCACCGUUAACUCCCCUUCCAUUUAUUCCUUCAAAUUCAAUCAAACUACAACACAUCCGUUCCUUCCCUCUCCCAACCAUAACAACCAACAACCAAAACAAAACCCUAUUCCCAUUUCCCUCCAAUUAAUUCCCCCAACAAAAUGAGAGAAAUUUUACACAUCCAGGGCGGACAAUGCGGUAACCAGAUCGGCGCCAAAUUCUGGGAAGUAAUUUGCGACGAGCACGGUAUCGAUCACACCGGAAAAUAUGACGGAGAUUCCGAGCUCCAACUUGAGCGGAUUAAUGUCUAUUACAACGAAGCCAGUGGCGGAAGAUACGUUCCACGCGCCGUCCUCAUGGAUCUUGAA
rnacentral:lncRNA from 1 species